ensembl:snRNA U6 U6 spliceosomal RNA
AUGCUCAUUUCAGCAGCACAUAUACUAAAAUUGGCGCUAUACAGAGAUUAGCAGGGCUCCUGCUCAAGCCUGAAAUACAAAUGCACGAAGCGUUCCAUGAAAAC